rnacentral:rRNA from 1 species
GCAGUCGAGCGGACAGAAGGGAGCUUGCUCCCGGAUGUUAGCGGCGGACGGGUGAGUAACACGUGGGUAACCUGCCUGUAAGACUGGGAUAACUCCGGGAAACCGGAGCUAAUACCGGAUAGUUCCUUGAACCGCAUGGUUCAAGGAUGAAAGACGGUUUCGGCUGUCACUUACAGAUGGACCCGCGGCGCAUUAGCUAGUUGGUGGGGUAAUGGCUCACCAAGGCGACGAUGCGUAGCCGACCUGACAGGGUGAUCGGCCACACUGGGACUGAGACACGGCCCAGACUCCUACGGGAGGCAGCAGUAUGGAAUCUUCCGCAAUGUACGAAAGUCUGACGGAGCAACGCCGCGUGAGUGAUGAAGGUUUUCUGAUCGUAAAGCUCUGUUGUUAGGGAAGAACAAGUGCGAGAGUAACUGCUC